rnacentral:rRNA from 1 species
GACGAACGCUGGCGGCGUGCUUAACACAUGCAAGUCGAACGGAAAGGCCCUGCUUUUGUGGGGUGCUCGAGUGGCGAACGGGUGAGUAACACGUGAGUAACCUGCCCUUGACUUUGGGAUAACUUCAGGAAACUGGGGCUAAUACCGGAUAUGAGCUCCUGCUGCAUGGUGGGUGUUGGAAAGUUUCGGCGGUUGGGGAUGGACUCGCGGCUUAUCAGCUUGUUGGUGGGGUAGUGGCUUACCAAGGCAUUGACGGGUAGCCGGCCUGAGAGGGUGACCGGCCACAUUGGGACUGAGAUACGGGCCAGACUCCUACGGGAGGCAGCAGUGGGGAAUAUUGCACGAUGGGCGGAAGCCUGAUGCAGCAACGCCGCGUGCGGGAUGACGGCCUUCGGGUUGUAAACCGCUUUCGCCUGUGACGAAGCGUGAGUGACGGUAAUGGGUAAAGAAGCACCGGCUAACUACGUG